AUCUUAUCGUGAUCAAGUGUAAUUGGAAGCGGAACCCUCGACUUGAACAGAAAUGAAACUCUUGGUCUUUGUGUCUUUGGCUGUCAUUGUGUCAGGCCAGUAUCUGAAUACCCAUGAGAUUCAGCAGAUCGUCGACUCCGGAUUUUUAGGACUGGAUGUUAACCCCAAAGACAAUCUUCUGGAAUACGAGGAACUCGUCACUCUAUUCAACCAGAAAGAUGUGGAUGGUGAUGGACUUUUGUCUUUGACCGAGUUCGAGGCUCAUGUUGGGGCUGACUUCUUAUUCACGGUGCCUCUUUUCAACUAUUUUGAUGGCGAUAAGAACCAGAUGCUGAGCGUGAGGGAAUUUGUGGACAUUCCAUUCAACGAAAUGAAUACUAACGGUAUGCAUGCAUUUUAACAAAAAAGAUUUAUCUGAUUCCAUUUAUUGACAUGCAUCCCGUACUGUUGAUAAAGAAGAUUACAGGGAAACAAGUAAUUAUUUCAUUAUAAAUGGUGGAAUUGCUCUAAAGAAUUUCCAAUAGGUUAUCUGAUUAGUAGAUAUAUUAUAAUCAAGAUGGCCGAUUCAGUUUUCAUUUCGAAUGUUUUCGCGCAAUCCAAUAAAACUCAGUGAAUUUAUACCUUUUAAACAAUUAAUUUUGUUUCGAUAUCAUUUAUUUAUAAAACUGAACACAAUAAUUUAAAAAAUGCGGAAUUUUUUAAAUAUGAGAUUUUUAUAGGUAAUUUUAAUCUUUUUAAAACAAUUAUUUUCGUUGUUUGGUAGUUGAGCGUUGCUAUUGUGCUGUUAUGAUGUUAUGACAAAAUAAAGUUAUGUAUGAUCACGCUUUAAGAAAUAACAUAAAAGGGAAAAUAUAAAGUAUAUGCCUUCGAAAUUUUACACACCCAAAAUUAUGCUAUCUUCGGGGUUAUUUUUCUUAGAAUUUUGAAGGAAUUCGUUGUACGAAUCUACAUUGUAAUGCUUUAAAUAAAUGUCAAAAUUAGGUGCAUUGUGAUAUUUUGAGAUGAUCGUUUUCGAAAAACGAGACUAUUCUUAUAUAGAAAGUAGAAAAUGAUAUAAUCACAUUGUAAUAUUCUGUUAUAUGCUUUGAAACGCAUAAUGUACAUGUAUGUCAAUUUCCUUUAUAUUCCUAUAGUACAUUGUAUAUGUACCUGCAUUUCGAGAUGGCCCCUGAAACGAACCUUGUAGAUUUUCUUGAAACUUCGCAAAUAUAUGUAUACUAGAGUUGAUGUAUAUUACAUAUGGUAAACAAAACAAGGCGUUUGGCUGUUGUAGUAUUUACGCUAAAAAAAUCCCAAAAUUGGCUUCCAUAUAUUCAAUAAAAGAUAACCCAUGAAAAUUGAAUUCCUUCAAGAUUUAAAAGACCUUAUGAAUUAAUUAUUAUAAACAACAUUUUACGAGAAGGUAUGUUUUUCCUUGAGUAUUAAUUUUCCCACUGUAUAUCGUUUUUUUAGUUGAAUUUUAACGCCUUAUAUACCAUAUAUAUUCAAUGACCCACCAUACAAAUGGCAGGUGUGUUAAUAUUUAAGGAAUCAGGAAUCAUUCUUUAAGAAUUAUGAGGAAAUAUUUUUGGUCGGGGCGUGAUAAAAUCUAAUAAAGCCCGAAGGGCUUUAUGAUAAAUUUGAUCACACCCGACAAAAAUUAUCACCUCAUAAUCUUGAAUGAAUGAUUCCUUAUUACUUAUAUGUAUAUAAUUUUAAGCCAUCGUGCGAUUAAACAUUUAAAUAUAAAUAAGCAAACCCCGAUGGCGCCUCAAUUUGGUGGCAUUUGAAGUUAUGGGUUAUAUAGUGCAAAAUCGAUACGUUGUGUUAUCAGUGCCAAGGACACUGGAAAAUGUAAAUAUUUUUUUUUUAUUUAUCAUUGGAACGUCAUCAUAUGUUACAUUGGUGAGCAAGCAUAAAUUGCUCGGAUGUAACACAAGAUGAUCAUCUUUUUUGAGUAGGAAUAGAAGAAUUCUUAUAAUUAUGGACCAAUAAUGUCGGUUAUUGGCUGUCUAUUUAAGAAUAGGAUUAAAUAAAAAUAAAAAAAUGAUAUUUUAAACAAUAACCCCCCCCCCCCGAAAAAAUAUAUAGGGUAAGGGUAAUGAUUACUAGAACCCGUGAUUGGAUAACGGUUGUAGUAUUCCUUCUGCAAUAAUAGCUACAUGUGUACCUUCAAACCCGCAUGGGGCACCAAAGAAAGCAUUUUAUUGUUUAAAUCAAAUCAAGGAUGAUCUCGAUGAUGUCUUACUGAUUGUAACGCAGUGCAUGGUACGGUUAAAAUGUUAGAGUCGAUAUUGAUUCGUAACAUGUACAUGUAACUUUCUGAUACAGGAGACUCUCAAGUGACAAGACACGAGUUCGACCACUACUACACGCAGCUUAUUCACCAUUUGGACCAGCAUCAUGGAUAAUGUAAUUGUGGCAUUACCUUAAAAAUUAUUAAACUUAAAAUAGUU
rnacentral:misc_RNA from 1 species